CAGGUGACGCACGGGAGCCCCUGCUGGGGGCUGAGAGGGGAUCCGCCAGAUCCCGACCGUCGAACCUGAUCCGGGUCAUGCCGGCGCAGGGAGCGGGGAGAUGACGAGC
rnacentral:ncRNA from 2 species